rnacentral:rRNA from 1 species
GUCCCUAUCCGUCGCGGGCGUAGGAAAUUUGAGAGGAUCUGCUCCUAGUACGAGAGGACCAGAGUGGACUUACCGCUGGUGUACCAGUUGUCUUGCCAAAGGCAUCGCUGGGUAGCUAUGUAGGGAAGGGAUAAACGCUGAAAGCAUCUAAGUGUGAAACCCACCUCAAGAUGAGAUUUCCCAUGAUUUUAUAUCAGUAAGAGCCCUGAGAGAUGAUCAGGUAGAUAGGUUAGAAGUGGAAGUGUGGCGACACAUGUAGCGGACUAAUACUAAUAGCUCGAGGACUUAUCCAAA